GUGAGUGGCGAACUGGUGAGUAACACGUGGGAAACCUGCCCAGAAGCGGGGGAUAACACCUGGAAACAGAUGCUAAUACCGCAUAACAACUUGGACCGCAUGGUCCGAGUUUGAAAGAUGGCUUCGGCUAUCACUUUUGGAUGGUCCCGCGGCGUAUUAGCUAGAUGGUGAGGUAACGGCUCACCAUGGCAAUGAUACGUAGCCGACCUGAGAGGGUAAUCGGCCACAUUGGGACUGAGACACGGCCCAAACUCCUACGGGAGGCAGCAGUAGGGAAUCUUCCACAAUGGACGAAAGUCUGAUGGAGCAACGCCGCGUGAGUGAAGAAGGGUUUCGGCUCGUAAAACUCUGUUGUUAAAGAAGAACAUAUCUGAGAGUAACUGUUCAGGUAUUGACGGUAUUUAACCAGAAAGCCACGGCUAACUACGUGCCAGCAGCCGCGGUAAUACGUAGGUGGCAAGCGUUGUCCGGAUUUAUUGGGCGUAAAGCGAGCGCAGGCGGUUUUUUAAGUCUGAUGUGAAAGCCUUCGGCUCAACCGAAGAAGUGCAUCGGAAACUGGGAAACUUGAGUGCAGAAGAGGACAGUGGAACUCCAUGUGUAGCGGUGAAAUGCGUAGAUAUAUGGAAGAACACCAGUGGCGAAGGCGGCUGUCUGGUCUGUAACUGACGCUGAGGCUCGAAAGUAUGGGUAGCAAACAGGAUUAGAUACCCUGGUAGUCCAUACCGUAAACGAUGAAUGCUAAGUGUUGGAGGGUUUCCGCCCUUCAGUGCUGCAGCUAACGCAUUAAGCAUUCCGCCUGGGGAGUACGGCCGCAAGGCUGAAACUCAAAGGAAUUGACGGGGGCCCGCACAAGCGGUGGAGCAUGUGGUUUAAUUCGAAGCUACGCGAAGAACCUUACCAGGUCUUGACAUACUAUGCAAAUCUAAGAGAUUAGACGUUCCCUUCGGGGACAUGGAUACAGGUGGUGCAUGGUUGUCGUCAGCUCGUGUCGUGAGAUGUUUGGGUUAAGUCCCGCAACGAGCGCAACCCUUAUUAUCAGUUGCCAGCAUUAAGUUGGGCACUCUGGUGAGACUGCCGGUGACAAACCGGAGGAAGGUGGGGAUGACGUCAAAUCAUCAUGCCCCUUAUGACCUGGGCUACACACGUGCUACAAUGGAUGGUACAACGAGUUGCGAACUCGCGAGAGUAAGCUAAUCUCUUAAAGCCAUUCUCAGUUCGGAUUGUAGGCUGCAACUCGCCUACAUGAAGUCGGAAUCGCUAGUAAUCGCGGAUCAGCAUGCCGCGGUGAAUACGUUCCCGGGCCUUGUACACACCGCCCGUCACACCAU
rnacentral:rRNA from 1 species